CCUCAUCAAAUGGGGUGCCUUGUUUAAUUACACGAAUAAAGGCUGAGAUCAUACCCUUCAUCAUAAUGAUUAUAAUUUAUGAUGAACACCUGAUCCGGAUAAUGCCGGCGGAGGGAAUGUAAUAUUAAAACUAG
rnacentral:ncRNA from 1 species